GCCUUCGUGGUGCAAUGGUCAGCACAUUCGAGGCGUAUUCGACAGAUCCGGGGUUCGAAUCCCGGUGAGGGCA
rnacentral:tRNA from 1 species